rnacentral:rRNA from 1 species
UACGUAGGUGGCAAGCGUUGUCCGGAAUUAUUGGGCGUAAAGCGCGCGCAGGCGGUCCUUUAAGUCUGAUGUGAAAGCCCACGGCUCAACCGUGGAGGGUCAUUGGAAACUGGGGGACUUGAGUGCAGAAGAGGAAAGCGGAAUUCCACGUGUAGCGGUGAAAUGCGUAGAGAUGUGGAGGAACAACAGUGGCGAAGGCGGCUUUCUGGUCUGUAACUGACGCUGAGGCGCGAAAGCGUGGGGAGCAAACAGG